UGAAAUAUCAGAAUAGAAAUACAACUAUGUUUAUUGCCUGCAGGGAUUAGGAUCAGAGAUGAUCCGAGCCCCGUAAAUAGGCCUCCACGACCGCAGACCCACUGGAGAAAGCGGGGAUUGUGAGCACCAAAGGAAACAGGCUCCAAGGAACACUCAGCCUCCUGUUUUCUCCUGGGGCUCUGCAUAUGCUGAUGGUGGCCAGGUGGAUGUUAUUGUCCCUUAUGUUGCAUCGAGGCAGAUGACAUAGUCCUAGGGAUAAGAUGAGCUGCUUACAUUUGAAGUUAAAAUCAUACUUCUACCAACUUUGGUGUGUGAAAAACGGCACAGCAUUGGCACACUAUUGGAAAAGAGAAGCUUUAUUACAGAGAGGAACAAGAACUUAGAGCGACAAGAAACUCUAUGAACUAGGAGGCUCAGGAGUUCGUCGGGGAAGAGCCCCUUGGAUGAGAACAGGACCACUCCCUGGCCAGCGGAAUGGGAGCCCAUCAAAGAGACUCUUUUGGCUUCUUUUAUGGGAUGGAGGAAGAUGGUGCACUGAGUCUUCCUAAGAAAUGUACUACUCUUGAGUCCCAGAGACUGUCUUCUAUUUGUUUGUGCGUAAGGUCCAAAUGACUUUGUUUCUGCUCACAUUCAUUUCUGGUCCACAGAAUUUUUAAUUCAUUACGUUUCAUCUCAUAGAGCAUAAUGCUAACAGUGUCUUUAAACAUAGUUAGCUAUAAGAGGGCUAAUUUCUUAUCAAUGCCCAAAACUUCCUGUGAGAGGUUUGGCUGAUGAUUUCCCCCUUUCAUGUAAUAUAUAAGGUCAAAGUUUAAUAAAGUCCAGAGCCACACUCUAUAUGUCAUUUGGUAGUCUCUAGUCUAGAAUAUGUGUAUAUCCCAAUUUUUGAACAAUAAAAUUAUGAGGAAAAAGGACAUUGUAGUUGACUGGAUUGUUGGUUCUUUUUACAGACUCCUGAAGUUUUCUCUGUGUGUUACUUGGUGUCCGUGUCCCCAGCUCUGCAGUAAAAGUCUAAAGAAAAUGGAAUCCUUU
rnacentral:lncRNA from 1 species